rnacentral:rRNA from 1 species
GGGACUGGCGGCGUGCUUACCAUGCAAGUCGAACGAUGAACCACUUCGGUGGGGAUUAGUGGCGAACGGGUGAGUAACACGUGGGCAAUCUGCCCUGCACUCUGGGACAAGCCCUGGAAACGGGGUCUAAUACCGGAUAACACCUCCUUGCUCCUGCUUGGAGGUUAAAAGCUCCGGCGGUGAAGGAUGAGCCCGCGGCCUAUCAGCUUGUUGGUGAGGUAACGGCUCACCAAGGCGACGACGGGUAGCCGGCCUGAGAGGGCGACCGGCCACACUGGGACUGAGACACGGCCCAGACUCCUACGGGAGGCAGCAGUGGGGAAUAUUGCACAAUGGGCGAAAGCCUGAUGCAGCGACGCCGCGUGAGGGAUGACGGCCUUCGGGUUGUAAACCUCUUUCAGCAGGGAAGAAGCGAAAGUGACGGUACCUGCAGAAGAAGCGCCGGCUAACUACGUGCCAGCAGCCGCGGUAAUACGUAGGGCGCAAGCGUUGUCCGGAAUUAUUGGGCGUAAAGAGCUCGUAGGCGGCUUGUCACGUCGGUUGUGAAAGCCCGGGGCUUAACCCCGGGUCUGCAGUCGAUACGGGCAGGCUAGAGUGCGGUAGGGGAGAUCGGAAUUCCUGGUGUAGCGGUGAAAUGCGCAGAUAUCAGGAGGAACACCGGUGGCGAAGGCGGAUCUCUGGGCCAUUACUGACGCUGAGGAGCGAAAGCGUGGGGAGCGAACAGGAUUAGAUACCCUGGUAGUCCACGCCGUAAACGGUGGGAACUAGGUGUGGGCAACAUUCCACGUUGUCCGUGCCGCAGCUAACGCAUUAAGUGCCCCGCCUGGGGAGUACGGCCGCAAGGCUAAAACUCAAAGGAAUUGACGGGGCCCGCACAAGCAGCGGAGCAUGUGGCUUAAUUCGACGCAACGCGAAGAACCUUACCAAGGCUUGACAUACACCGGAAACGUCUAGAGAUGGGCGCCCCCUUGUGGUC